ensembl:lncRNA
CACAAACACACCCCACACACACACUAGCAUGCAUACGAACCUGUUCAUAAAGUCGAGCACUUCGAAAGUUUUAACAUCGGAAAAGGUUCGACCGAAUUUCCAGAGUCUAUUCUUCACUACUUCCAGAAUCAAACACUUCGAAAGUUUGAACAUCGGCAAAGUUCAACAGAAUUUCCAGAGUCUAUCCUUCACUACUUCCAGACACCAUGGAUUUCUCGGCAGUGCAAGACCGAGUUAAGCUCAUCUGAUUCUAGUGUAUAGGUAAUUAAAAUUUGUCUCUUAGAUCUAUGUAGUGAUCUAAAAUGGGAAUGUUAAGUUAUUAAAAGUAUGUUUU